CAGCCAACAUAAUUUUUCUGUACUGAAAUAGGCACUCCUUCAAUCACUCACUCCACUUGGUUAUUAUUAUCCUGUUUUUAUUUACUUUCUGAUACCAACUUAAUCUAUCACGUCCCGGAUUCCUCGUUUCCCCGGGCACGCUAACAGAUCCGCCGUAUACAAAGAAAUUUUUUCUGUAUAUGAAGCGAAGCUGUACAUGUACCUGCAAUCAUUACAAUACUACAACCAGUAGUAUAGAGCUACUAGGAAGGAACAAAACAUAAAUA
rnacentral:lncRNA from 1 species